AUUGAACGCUGGCGGAAUGCUUUACACAUGCAAGUCGAACGGCAGCACGGACUUCGGUCUGGUGGCGAGUGGCGAACGGGUGAGUAAUACAUCGGAACGUGCCCGGACGUGGGGGAUAACUACUCGAAAGAGUGGCUAAUACCGCAUACGAUCCAAGGAUGAAAGCGGGGGAUCGCAAGACCUCGCGCGUUUGGAGCGGCCGAUGGCAGAUUAGGUAGUUGGUGAGGUAAAGGCUUACCAAGCCUGCGAUCUGUAGCUGGUCUGAGAGGAUGAUCAGCCACACUGGGACUGAGACACGGCCCAGACUCCUACGGGAGGCAGCAGUGGGGAAUUUUGGACAAUGGGCGAAAGCCUGAUCCAGCCAUUCCGCGUGCAGGAUGAAGGCCCUCGGGUUGUAAACUGCUUUUGUACGGAACGAAAAGGCUCUUGCUAAUACCAGGAGUCCAUGACGGUACCGUAAGAAUAAGCACCGGCUAACUACGUGCCAGC
rnacentral:rRNA from 1 species